GAACUGGCGAGAGAGUGGUUUUCCCACGACCCCUUUUUGGAUAGAUACCUGGCUCUUUCCUACGUCCUGUGCUCUUAACAGGCGAUCUCCGGGAAGUUCCACCUCUUGGUGACCUCGGACCGCAGCAUAAGCCACUUCAAUGUCCCCUCUCACGUGCUCCGGAAGACCAUGUCUUCCCGGCUGUCCAAGGAACUGCAACAGAAGUACAACGUCCGCUCCGUGCCCGCCCGCAAGGACGAUGAGAUCCAGACAUGAAGAAACUGAAACUCAAGUUAAAUGAUACAGAGCAUGGAGUGGAGGAUGACCUUGAUUCCUGAGUGCUGGAAUUACAGGCAGGUGCUACUGUGCUAGACCUAUGUAUGCUGUACCAGGCCUGUGCACACUAAGCCCGUCCUCCGCCACUGACUCCACUCCCGGCCACGGGUGGUUUGAGGACACUACAAAGGUCAGCAGGUCAGCAAGACAGUCCGAGUGUACAGAACUCAGUCUGUCAGCUACAUCAAGCAGGGACAGCAUGAGACGACUAACAGCACAACUGUCUACGUGAGCAUCCACCCCAGCAAGGUGGUUAUCACCAGGCUGGAACCAGACAAAGACAGGGAAAAAAAUUCUUGAAUGCAAAGCCAAGUCUCGGCAACUUGGGAAAGAGAAGGGCCAGUGCAGGGAGCUCACUGAGGAUACAGGGGUGAAACCGGCUGGCAGGCAGCCAGGGCUGACUACAGAGGCCUGUCUGGUGUCUGCUUCAAACUUUUCAAAGUGUGUCUGAUGUGUUUCAUUGUCCACCUGAUUUGCUACUGACCUGUCACUCUUGUAAAUCUCCUUCUGCAGUUUUGAUAAUUUAUGAAUAAAAAUUGGAGCUGUUUUCUAA